rnacentral:lncRNA from 1 species
UUCUCCUUCAUGAUGUUUGUCCUGCUGGUGUUCGGGGUCUCUCUGAUCAACAUCGGAGUUCAUGGCGCCUAGUCUGGUGUGUCAGCUCCGGUCCGUUGAUGCUCGUAUCGUUCUUCAUACGUUGACGGAUGUCAGUAAUCGCCGCCUCCCUCCACGGAUGGUUUUUGAGUAACAACAAUAAAGGAAAUGGAAUUGGAAUUGGAAUUGCAUUUUUUGUUUGAACCGAGGGAGUACUAUUUCUGAAUAAUCAACCAGUAUGUUUUUCCUUAAUUACUACGUGCUUCUUUGUAAUUCAUGAAUUACGUUAGUGAGCUCAAGUACCUUUUCACGGGAACAUGUGAUAUUCCAUCUCCAUGAUUCCACACCUGCUAUCCAAGUUGAGUAGCAGAAGAUGAUCCUGCCCCUACUUUUUCAGCCGCUUUAUUCAAUUGCUUUUGACGCCAGGAGUCGAGACACAAGAUGUAUCCAUGUGGGUCCCGGCGCUGACCUGCGAGAUCCGACGCCACUUUUCGGUUGCAUCCCGAUCAUGGCCACUGCAGUACUAAGACCAUCCAAACAGGACAGCGAUGGAGCUGACGUGGAUGUCUGUCUGGAGAACGGGGUGGGUGGCGUGCAGAUUGCGACGCACCACGACAGAGGCGGCGCGUUCGUAACGGGGUGGGGGGUGUGCCGAUUGCGCCGGCGACGGCGACAGCGGACCGAAUGGACCACCUCGCCUUUUUUUUCCCCCUUCUGCUUCAUAUAAGCCAUCGAUCCAUUGUCAAGGAUUGUUCAGCGCAUAUUUUCGAGGUUGUGGAUCCAUCAAUCCCUUAAAGAUUGGACCCAAACUACCAAGAUGUUGGCCAGAUGUAUGCGCCAGCCAUUGGAAUGGACCAUCGAGAGUCAAAUCUGCAAACUGAGGCAUUGGAAUAUUAGAAUGAGUGUUUGGAUAUUAGGUGUUAAAUUUUAGCAGUGUCCCAUCGGAUGUUCGGAUGCUAAUUAGAAGGACUAAACAUAAGCUAAUUAUAAAACUAAUUGCAGAACCCCUGGGCUAAUUCGCGAGACGAAUCUAUUAAGCCUAAUUAGUCCAUCAUUAUCAAAUGGUUACUAUAGCACCACAUUGCUCGUGAUGGGGCUCGCCUGCGUCCCCUUGGCCGCCGUCUGGGCGAACGUCGGCCGGAUCCUGGUGUUCCUCGGCCAGGACAGCGCCAUCGCCGCCGAGGCCGGCGCCUACGCGCGGUGCCUCAUCCCGUCCAUCUUCCUGAGCGUGCCGCUGCAGUGUCACGUGCGGUUCCUGCAGGCGCAGAGCCUCGUCCACCCCGUAAUGGCGAGCACGGGCGCCACGGCGCUCUGCCACGCCGCCGUGUGCUGGGCGCUCGUGUACAAGGCCGGCAUGGGGAGCAAGGGCGCCGCGCUCAGCAAUGCCAUCUCGUGUGCUGCCAACUUGGUGAUGCUGGCUGUGUACGUCAGGACGUCGAGCGCCUGCAGGUGUACAUGGAACGGCUUCUCCAUGGAGAUGUUUGAGUUUGAGGAGCUUCGAUCGUUCGCCGCCCUCGCCGUGCCGUCCGGGUUCAUGAUAUGGUGAGAUGAUCGGCGCAGCCAUUAAUCUCGGAGCUUUCUACUUGGCGUGAUCAUAUGAAUGGAAAGGUGUAUGGUACGACGCGUGAUCUCAUGGUACAUGACAAAAAGAGUCAUGCCGCACGGCAGCCACCCGGUGGAGAUCUCACGCGAGAGGAGAAAUAGAAGAGAGCACGCAGCACACGAGAUGGGAUUAUGCUGAUCAGGGAGAGGCCGAGGAGCCGGGGCGAAGCUAGAGCCGGAGGAUUUGUGUGCACACUUGACACUUCAAUAUAAAAAUCUUGUCCAAUAUAUAUAAAGUUAAAGGAAAUACUUACCAAAAUAGAGAAUAUGAUACUCUUGAUAGUUAAUAUUAAUAAACACCAGCAAAAUAUUAUACGGUCUGUAUACAAUUGGCAAAAUACACCAUUAAGUUGACUCCUCCACGAGGAAGCGGAUCAUUGUCUGCUGUGUAGAGCAAGUAAUUCGAAGACUUUUGCUUGGGGGUCGAUCAUUCUGGACUUUUGCUUGUAUACAUACAUACAUAUGUAUAUACAUAUAUACAUAUAUAUAUAACUAUACUAAAUAAUACCCUGGGUACAGAAUAAUAUAUAUAUAGGAAUAGCUUAUUCUGUACCCAGGGUAUUANNNNNNNNNNNNNNNNNNNNNNNNNNNNNNNNNNNNNNNNNNNNNNNNNNNNNNNNNNNNNNNNNNNNNNNNNNNNNNNNNNNNNNNNNNNNNNNNNNNNNNNNNNNNNNNNNNNNNNNNNNNNNNNNNNNNNNNNNNNNNNNNNNNNNNNNNNNNNNNNNNNNNNNNNNNNNNNNNNNNNNNNNNNNNNNNNNNNNNNNNNNNNNNNNNNNNNNNNNNNNNNNNNNNNNNNNNNNNNNNNNNNNNNNNNNNNNNNNNNNNNNNNNNNNNNNNNNNNNNNNNNNNNNNNNNNNNNNNNNNNNNNNNNNNNNNNNNNNNNNNNNNNNNNNNNNNNNNNNNNNNNNNNNNNNNNNNNNNNNNNNNNNNNNNNNNNNNNNNNNNNNNNNNNNNNNNNNNNNNNNNNNNNNNNNNNNNNNNNNNNNNNNNNNNNNNUGUGUGUAUGUAUGUAUAUAUAUAUAUAUAUAUAUAUAUAUAUAUAUAUAUAUAUAUAUAUAUAUAUAUAUAUAUAUAUAUAUAUACACAUACACACGCACGCAGGUAUACAUAUAUAUGUGUGUAACUUGGGUACGGGAGGUUGGGGCAAGUAGCAAAGGGAAUAAGCUAUUCCUAUAUAUAUAUGUACGCAGGUAUACAUAUGUAUGUAUUCCUAUAUAUAUAUGUACGCAGGUAUACAAUCUACUAUCUCCAAAGCAUACUACUACGAGUACUACUAUAUAUAUAUCUGUAUAUAUACAUAUAAAUGUCGGUCCACGCGUCCAAUUGGGAAAGUAGGAACCAAAUCAUCAAUCGAGCAUCAAUGCAUCUGGGAGAGGCCAAGAAUCCCAACGCCGAUCAGGGAGAGGCCGAGGAGGAGCAGAGCAAACAUGCCGAAGCAGAGCAGCUGGCCUGCUUCGCUGGAGACCGCCGUGACGGCGCAGGAAGCCACCACGAGCCCCACGACGGCGAGGUUGCGACCAAGGAAAUCUGCGAGAGCACGCGCCUCAGCCAACACCGCAGGGACGACGAGCGCCGGGUCGGCGUCGGACAUCCGAAUGCCGACGGCGACGAUGUUGGCGCCAGCGAGAACCCCCGCGAAGCAGAGUAGCAAGCCGAAUGCGCCGGCGCCGGCGCCGGGGUGGAAUCCGGCGCUGACGGAGAACAGCAAGAUGGCGAGGCCUGCGACCAUCGCCGUGGUGCCCGGAGUGGCCUGUUAUGAAUGAACGGCGUAUGGAAUAUGAAGUAAAGAAUCAAACCGCAAGGAGACACACGAUUUACGUGGAAAACCCCUUCAAUGUGAAGAGGAAAAACCACGGGCACCAGCCGGCAACAAUCUCACUAUGUCAAGAGUUUGGGGGUUACACGCCUACGGCGGCUUACACGAGAAUCUCUCUGUCUCUCUUCUUUCUCGGUACAAAACCCUAGCAAGGGUGCUAGUAUAUGUAGUACCGACACCCAGACAGGGGUUAAUGUGCGGUACGGACUCUUGGUCCCGUACGAGGAUGGAACUCCUCCUCGCCCGACCUUUGAGUCCUUCGUCCUGGAGUCGGGUGCGCCUGGGACAUCGCCUCGUCCGACCCCAAGCCUGGGGUCGGAUGCGCCUGACCCCUUGAGGGUCGAUCUCCGAUUCGCCCGACCCCAAAGUCCAGGGGUCGGGAGACGCUCCGCCUCGCCCGGCCCCGAGUCCCGGGGUCGGGAGAUGCUCCGCCUCGCCCGGCCCUAAGUGUAAAGGGUCGGGAAGGUCGGCCUUUAUCCUGGAGUGAAUUUGGAACAACUCCAACAAACUCCACCUUGAGACAAAUUCAUCUUGUAUCAACAUCCCUUCAUCCUGAACAGAACAAAGACAAAGAAAACCACUGGUGCCAACAAUAGUCUCUUGGACUAUCCGAUUAAACCAACUAAGCCCGAGCACAGCUCAAACUUAGUAACAGGAACAGGCUUUGUCAUCAUAUCAGCAGGAUUAUCAUGAGUACUGAUCUUGCAUACCUUCAGCUUACCUUCUUCGAUCACAUCACGCGCAAAAUGAUACUUGAUGUCAAUGUGCUUAGUUCUUUUAUGGAACAUUUGAUCUUUAGUGAGGUAAAUUGCACUUUGGCUGUCACAGUGCAAACUUAUGCAAGCUUCAAUUCCACAAAGCUCGGUGUACAAACCUUUUAGCCAAAUCAGUUCUUUGCACGCCUCACAAAUCGCCAUAUAUUCUGCUUCAGUAGUAGACAAAGCAACAACCGACUGUAAAGUAGCCUUCCAACUCACAGCACAACUUCCAACAGUAAACACAUAGCCUGUGAGUGAUCUUCGCCUGUCUAGAUCAGCAGCAUAAUCUGAGUCCACAUAGCCAACAAGACCCUCAUCAGUUCUUCCAAACUUUAAACAGGAAUUUGCUGUGCCUUUGAGGUAUCUGAAAAUCCACUGAACUGCCCUCCAAUGUUCUUUGCCGGGAUUAGACAUAUAUCUACUAACAAGGCUCAUAGCAUAUGACAAAUCCGGGCGAGAGCAAACCAUGGCAUACAUCAAAGACCCAACAGCACUAGAAUAAGGAAUCUUUGACAUGUCUUUGACCUCUGCAUCUGUACUAGGACACUGAGCUGCUGACAACUUGAAGUGAGGUGCAAUAGGAGUACUUACAGCCUUUGCAUCUUGCAUGUUGAAACGCUGAAGAACUUUCUUGAUAUAAUUCUGUUGACUAAGGAAGAGCAAACCAGAAUUUCGGUCUCUCCUAAUUUCCAUACCAAGAAUUUUCUUAGCACUGCCAAGAUCUUUCAUAUCAAAACCGCUACUCAAUAGCUUCUUUAAUUUAUUUAUUUCAGUCUUGCUCUUGGCCGCAAUCAGCAUAUCAUCAACGUAUAUCAGCAAGUAUAUAGGUGAUCCAUUAACAUGCUUGAUAUAAACACAGCUAUCAUACUUAGAUCUUUUAAAACUGUGUGAUAACAUAAAUGAAUCAAACCUCUUGUUCCACUGUCGAGGGGACUGUUUCAAACCAUACAAGGAUCUCUUCAACUUGCACACAUAUUUCUCCUUGCCAGGCACUAUGAAACCUUCUGGUUGGUCCAUGUAUAUGUCCUCCUCGAGCUCUCCAUGCAAAAACGCAGUCUUCACAUCUAACUGCUCAAGCUCAAGAUCAUGUGAAGCAACAACACUAAGGAAAGUGCGGAUUGAACUGUGUUUUACCACUGGAGAGAAAACAUCAUUGUAGUCAACACCCGGAAUUUGGCUGUAGCCUUUAGCAACUAACCUUGCCUUAUAUUUUGGAGGCUCUCUUGGAGAUAAACCCUCCUUUCUUUUGAAGAUCCAUUUGCAGCGGAUGGCCUUCUUAUUCUUAGGCAAAGGUACAAGUUCCCAUGUACUGUUCUUCUCAAGAGAUUGCAUCUCCUCAUGCAUAGCCGAAAUCCAGUUUUCAGUAUCAUCACAAUGAAUAGCUUCUUUAUAGGUUGCUGGCUCAUGAACAUUCUCCACCUGUUCAGCACAACUCAAAGCAUGGUAAGAUAAAUUACAUUCUUCAAUAAGACGGUUAGGAGGGAUAACAGUCCUUUUGGACUUGCGUUUAGCAAUGGGUAGAUCCUCCUCUGGAGUUUGCUGGACAUCAUCAUGAGCAUUAGCCGACCCCGAGACCAAAGGGUCUGGCGCAUCAACAACAGCCGACCCCGGAGCCAAGGGGUCUGGCGCAGCAACUUCCGACCCCGGAGCCAAGGGGUCUGGCGCUUGAGCAUUGGCCGACCCUGGAGCCAAAGGGUCUGGCGCAUCAGAAACGACCGACCCCGGAGCCAAGGGGUCUGGCGCAUCCGACCCCGAGACCAAGGGGUCGGGGUUGACAGUGUCAUCACGAGCUUGCUCCACCUGCAGAUGCAUACGCUGCAGUGCGUUUUCUGGAACUUUAUCUGAGGGCAAGCUGUCAGUAAACAUCACAGAUUCAUUGAAAAUAACACUUCUGCUCAGAAAGGUCUUUCCUGUUUCCGGGUUCCACAAUUUGUAGCCUUUAACACCCGAACCAUAACCAAGGAAGAGACAUUUAAUAGCUCUAGGCUCUAAUUUUCCAUUAUCAACAUGAGCAUAUGCAGUGCAUCCAAAAACUUUCAACUGUGAGUAAUCAGCAGGCGUUCCAGACCAUACCUCAAUGGGAGUUCUUUUAUUUAGUGGAAUAGAAGGCGACCUGUUGAUCAAGUAACAGGCAGUAUUAGCAGCUUCAGCCCAAAAACGCUUGCUCAUCCUGGCAUUAGACAGCAUGCAACGGGCCUUGGAUAUGAUGGAUCUGUUCAUGCGUUCGGCCACACCAUUCUGUUGUGGAGUAUGGGGUAUGGUGUGAUGCCUUACAAUGCCUUCUGAUCUGCAAUAAUCAUUAAAUUCACGCGAACAAAAUUCUCCACCAUUAUCAGUGCGAAGCAUUUUCACCUUUCUUUCAGUUUGCCUUUCAAUCAUCACUUUCCAGUCCUUAAAGGCGGCAAAGGUAUCAUCUUUCUGUUUCAGAAAAUAAGGCCACACUCUUCUAGAGUAAUCAUCAAUAAUUGUGAGCAUGUAACGAGCACCACCAAGCGAGGGCUUACGGGAAGGCCCCCACAAAUCAGCAUGGAUAUAAUCAAGAGUACCUUUAGUGGUGUGAACUGAAGUGUUGAAACGUACCCUUUUAUGCUUCCCGAAAACACAGUGCUCACAAAACUUCAUUUUACUCGAAGUGCAGCCAUCCAGUAGGUUUCUUCUCAUCAAUUCGGUCAUACCAUGGUGACUCAUAUGUCCCAGACGCAUAUGCCAAAGGUUAGUUUUACUAGGUUCCUCAUUAGUAACAGCAGCAACAGCGGAAUCAGAACCAGUUAAAGUACACCCUCUAAGGACAUAUAACUUUGCAGAAUUGAGAUCACCCUUUAAGCAGACAAGAUUACCUUUUGAUACCUUCAGAACGCCAUCCGAACCAGAAUAUUUGUAGCCUUUUGCAUCAAGCGUGCUCAAUGAAAUAAGAUUUCUGGACAUUCCUGGUAUGUACCUGACGUUUUUCAGAGUGCGUGUCAUGCCAUCAUGAGUCUUGAUCUGAACCGAUCCAAUCCCCUCAAUAUCACACGGGGUAUUAUCUCCCAUCCGCACCACAUCUCCUUUCGGCAUAGACUUAUAAGAGCUAAACCAAUUUCUGUUAAUGCAAAUAUGAAAUGAACAUGCAGAAUCAAGAAUCCACUCAUCAUGACCAGCAACACAACCGGCAAAUACCACCAGACUAUCUCCAGAUUCUUCAUCAGACACGGCAGCAGCAACAGAGGCCUUACCGGCCGACUUGUUUUUCUUCUUCUCCUUAUUCUGUACUUUUCUGCAAUCCUCAACAUUGUGAUUUGUUAGCUUGCAAUAAACACAGAAUUUCUUAUUACCAUGCGGCUUGGACUUUGAACGGCAUCUCCUUUCAUAAUUUUUCCUUCCAUCAUCAUUGGAGGAUCUGUUAUCAGUUAUGCCUCUCACGAGCAAAGCAUCACCCCUGGAGGACGACGUCCUGUCAUUCUGCACCAUACCUCUCAUCUUCUCCCUUGACUGGAGAGCCUCAUAAACUUCCUUUAAGGUUAGUUCGUCACGGCUCAAGAGUAUGGUGUCACGAAAAUUUGCAUACGAAGUUGGCAAAGAACAUAACAGUAAAAGACCUAAGUCCUCAUCUUCAUACUUCACCUCCAUUGAUACUAGAUCGGCGACGAUUUUCUUGAACUCAGCGAUGUGGCUCAUCACUGAAUCUUCCUCCUUCAUCUUCAAAGUGAACAGCUUCAUCUUCAUCUGCAUCUUACUGGUUAGAUCCUUGGACAUACAGAUCGAUUCCAGUUUCAGCCAUAAUUCUGCAGCAGUUUUUUCUUUCAGACACUCCUGCAAAAUAUCAUUAUGAAGAUGCAACUGUAUUAAGGCGAGAGCCUUCUGAUCCUUGCGGAUCUCUUCUGGAGUCCACGCGGUCUUCGACUUCUUCCCGAAGCUAUCUAGCGCCUCAUCAUAAUCAUGAGUUUGCGCCAGGAUUCCCCUCAUCUUGACUUGCCAUAGCGAGAAACGCGUGUCGUAGUUCAGCAGCGGUAGAUCAAACUUCAUUGACGACGACAUGAAAUCCAAACAGCAACCAAAGCUCUGGUACCACUUGUUAUGAAUGAACGACGUAUGGAAUAUGAAGUAAAGAAUCAAACCGCAAGGAGACACACGAUUUACGUGGAAAACCCCUUCAAUGUGAAGAGGAAAAACCACGGGCACCAGCCGGCAACAAUCUCACUAUGUCAAGAGUUUGGGGGUUACACGCCUACGGCGGCUUACACGAGAAUCUCUCUGUCUCUCUUCUUUCUCGGUACAAAACCCUAGCAAGGGUGCUAGUAUAUGUAGUACCGACACCCAGACAGGGGUUAAUGUGCGGUACGGACUCUUGGUCCCGUACGAGGAUGGAACUCCUCCUCGCCCGACCUUUGAGUCCUUCGUCCUGGAGUCGGGUGCGCCUGGGACAUCGCCUCGUCCGACCCCAAGCCUGGGGUCGGAUGCGCCUGACCCCUUGAGGGUCGAUCUCCGAUUCGCCCGACCCCGAGUCCUGGGGUCGGGAGAUGCUCCGACUCGCCCGACCCCAAAGUCCAGGGGUCGGGAGACGCUCCGCCUCGCCCGGCCCCGAGUCCCGGGGUCGGGAGAUGCUCCGCCUCGCCCGGCCCUAAGUGUAAAGGGUCGGGAAGGUCGGCCUUUAUCCUGGAGUGAAUUUGGAACAACUCCAACAUGGCCAUGGUCGGCAGCGUGGCACCGCAGUCCCCUGCUUAAUUGGAGAGGGCCGUCGAGCGAGCAGGCGAAGUGCGCAGCGGACGGGGCGAGAUUUAUAGGUGCGGCUGGGCUAGGCAAUAGCUGCAUGAGCAUGCAAGACAGAGACUCGUGUGUCUGAGAAACUUGGAAUGGUAAGUAGCUUCUGGGCAGCUUCCAACUGCUUUUUGGAAUGGUAAGGCUGGUGGUCACGCCCACGGCCCAAUUAUCAAUAGGAAAAUUCCGGGCCAGCUGAAAAGAGUACCGGGGAGGAAAGCGUUGCCGAAGAGGCGAAGUGCGGAGAACAGCAGAAAAAGGUCGUCGUUGCUAUCAUCACUUUAUUAAGUGCGGAGAACAGCGGGGUUGAUUAUAUACUUGGUGCCAUGAAGGUCGUCGUUGCUAUCAUCACUUUAUUAGAAAAUAAUUAUUCCGAAAUGUUAAGGAUAUCGAGAAUAGACGACGGAAAAUCCAACAGCUAGCUUCUCACCAAUUCCUCCAAAUGCACCAUUCAUCUUAUCUUAUUACUCUCUCUGUCCCAGAAUAUAACUACGAUUUAGACUUUGAAAUCUUAUUACUCUCUCGGUCCCAGAAUAUAACUACGAUUUAGACUUUUUCAAAGUCAAACUUUUUCAACUUUAACCGCGAAUAUCGAAAUAAUUAUAGAGACUAAUAACAUAAAAAUGAUGUUGGUAAAUUUAUCAUGAAACCAACUAUUAUAAUAUGUAGUCUUUUCUAUUUAUAAUAAAUUAUUUUUAGAGAUAUUGUUGGUCAAAGUUAAAAAUAUUUGACUUUAGAAAAAUCUAAACAUAGCUAUAUUCCGGGACGGAGGGAGUAUUUCAUUUAUUGGCACUUCAAUGACCACCACCAAAUACCCAAAUCUUGUGCUCGUCGAUCAGUCUGAUAUCCUGUACCAACUUUACCGUGUACACCAUACCUAUAGGAUUACCAGAGUUUAAGGUUAUCUGAGCAUAUAGUAGGAACAGAACCUGUGACAGAGCAUGUGCAAAAUAGUACUAGUAGGGUUGACAGAUGUAUUUGCAUGGUGGAUUUUCACUUGAAUUUUGUGUGUUUCAACUUAAAUUCGGAGAACAGCGUAUCGCACUUAGCGGCGGAUUCGACUUGCUACUCUGCUUCGCGGGGGUUCUCGUCGGCGCCAACGUCGUCACCGUCGGCAUCCGGAUGUCCGACGCCGACAUGGCGCCCGUCCUCCCGGCGGUGUUGCCCGAGGCGCGUGCUCUCGCAUGCUCUCUCUGUUCAGAAUAAGAUGACGUUUUGGACAACUAAUUUGUCAUGUAGCAUGAGAGAACUGAACAACUUCCACCGGGUGGCUGCCGUGCGGCAGGACUCUUAGAUUUUGGUUCCUCGUUGUUCCACCCGCAUGACACCCGCAUGACGCUCUCUUGGGCCAUGUUUAGUUAUCCCUCAACUCCCAACUUUGACACUAUGCAAAAAGAAAAUUCUCAUUACAUCAAACUUGCGGUAUAUGCAUGGAGUACUAAAUGUAGACGAAAUUAAAAACUAAUUGCACAGUUUUGUUGUACUUUGCGAGACGAAUCUUUUGAACCUAAUUAGUCAAUAUUUGGACAAUAAUUCACAAAUACAAACGAAACGUUACAGUGUGCUACGGUGUUGGUACAAUAAUUUUGCCUCUCCCAAAUGGCCAACUAAAAGGCCCUGGNNNNNNNNNNNNNNNNNNNNNNNNNNNNNNNNNNNNNNNNNNNNNNNNNNNNNNNNNNNNNNNNNNNNNNNNNNNNNNNNNNNNNNNNNNNNNNNNNNNNCCAACACUGUAGCACACUGUACGUUUCGUUUGUAUUUGUGAAUUAUUGUCCAAAUAUUGACUAAUUAGGCUCAAAAGAUUCGUCUCACAAAGUACAACAAAACUGUGCAAUUAGUUUUUGAUUUCGUCUACAUUUAGUACUCCAUGCAUGUACCGCAAGUUUGAUGUGAUGGGGAAUCUUCUUUUUGCAUAGUGUCAAAGUUGGGAGUUUGAAGGGAAGUAAACAUGGCCUAAGACGACGUUUUGGACAACUAAUUUGACCUGCAAUUAGUUACUUCUUCAUGUCUGAACCAUCAACUAUAUCCGAUCGGAGGCAGUACGAAUUGUUACUGGCCCUAUCCUAUCAGAGUACUACCACUUUGUGUUACUCAGUAUGGUUUGGCUAUCAGUGGCUAGUUGGAGAGAUUAGUAAUGAAAUUUUAAUUCCCAAUCACUCUCUCUCUCUCUCCGGAUCAGAGCGUGUUCUCCGAUCAAUCAAUCCGAGCUCAUAAACCAAGUGCAACGCAUCCACAAAACGGAGUACUUUCGCAGGAACGAACGGAAGGAGUCGCCGCCGCAGGUGUUCGGUCUACGAUUUGGGAUUGUGGCGACGUUGUUGGCCAGGGCCUCGCCACUGCGUUCGCGCCCGUGCUCGUGCCACCACCCGCACGGGUUUCCCGUCAAAUUGGCGCUAAAAUAUACAUAAUCGCCAAAUUGGCGCUAAAAUAUACAUGGGCGAACGCGGUUAGCGUCCGUAUCUGACAACUGCAUAUGUAUUGUACUCUUGCUGACGUUGGUCCUCUUAUCGUUCAAUUCGCAUCCAGUUGUUAUCAUCUGAAGAGAGAAAAGGCGACAAGAUCGAUGAUUAAAAAAGGAGUUUAGUUGGAACCAUACGUGAUCCAAAGCGGAUUGGACUCGACCGCGUUCAUGUUAGGUCAUAAUUAUAUAAAAGUCUGAUGACACUCAGCAAAGCCUGCCUUCCUACGCCAACUACGAGCAAUGGCGCCUGAUGACACCACUCAAUGGUUAAUACUGGGCGACUUCAACUUAAUAUACAGCGCACGAGACAAGAACAAUAACAACUUAAAUCGGAGGCUUAUGAGGAGCUUCAGAGCAACGCUGAACUAUUGCGGACUUAAAGAAAUUCACCUACAGAACAGACGAUUCACCUGGAGCAACGCAAGACACGAGCCGACACUAACGCGAAUUGACAGAGUUUUCUGCAAUGCAUCUUGGGAUGUACAAUUUGACGAUCACGUCCUUCACGCCCUCUCUUCCUCGCACUCGGACCACUGCCCUUUAAUACUUGCGCAAAACUCGGGACCUCGUAGACCGACGCCAUUCAAAUUCGAAAACUUUUGGACACGGCUACCAGGUUUUUAUGAAAUUGUCACCCAGGAAUGGUCAAAGCCGACUACCCAUACUGAGCCGUUCCAUAGACUGGGCUGUAAACUACACAACACUGUCCGAGCACUAAGAUCAUGGAGCCGAAUGCAUGUCUCCGACGCUCGCUUAAAACUGCAUAUGGCCCAAGAAGUCAUCCUACGCCUUGACGUAGCGGAGGAAACAAGAACGCUCACGGAACCAGAACACAAUAUACGGAGCAAACUCAAAAAAAGACUUUUGGGAUGGGUGGCCAUAGAGAAAGCGAGAAGGAAACAGUGCUCUAGGAUAACCUACCUACGAGAAGGCGAUGCGAAUACUAAGUUUUUACACCUCAAGGCAAAUGGAAGGAGGCGGAAAAACUUCAUCCAACGAUUGAAGAGGGGAAAUGACUGGGCCGUGACACACAUACAAAAACAGCAAAUAAUCCAAAACCACUUUGACAAUGUGAUGUCUGCUCCUCCUGCACGCACCAAAACCUUCAACUGGGAAAAGCUACAUUUUCCAGUAGUGGAUUUAACUGGAAUCGAUAACCCUUUUCAGAUAAGGAGAUACAAAAUGCAAUAACUGCCCUGCCCAAAGAUAAAGCGCCAGGCCCAGAUGGCUUCACUGGGUUGUUCUUCAAGUCAUGCUGGGGUAUCAUCAAAGGAGACGUUAUAGCGGCAGUAAACGUUUUUCACGCUGGGAGAUGCAACGACUUAAAUUUGCUUAAUUCAGCAACUAUUGUGUUGGUACCUAAAAAGGACGGCGCUGAAAGCAUCAACGACUUCAGACCAAUAAGCCUUAUACACGCAAUAGCAAAGAUCAUUACCAAAGUGCUGGCAACCAGGCUUCAGCCCUACAUGGACAAAUUGAUUUCGCCAAGCCAAAGUGCCUUCAUAAAAGGACGAAGCAUCCACGACAAUUUCCUUUAUGUUCGGAACAUGGCAAGAAGGUUUCACAGGCAAAAAAUGCCGGCACUGCUAAUGAAGCUGGACAUCUCAAAGGCUUUCGAUUCUGUCCGCUGGGACUACCUGCUUGAAUUACUGCAACAUAGAGGAUUUCCUGCAAGAUGGCGUAACUGGAUCACGGCAUUGCUAGUCACAUCAACCUCCAAAGUUCUAAUCAAUGGAAUUCCAUCCGACGCAAUUGUGCAUGGGCGAGGCCUACGACAAGGAGACCCCCUAUCUCCCUUCCUUUUCAUCCUAGCGAUAGACCCGCUGUACCAAUUAGUACACACGGCAACAGGAAUGGGAUUACUUAAAAAACUAGGCGGACGUACGCCGCGCACUAACAUCUCUAUGUACGCCGAUGACGCGGCCAUCUUCAUAAAGCCAACAAAGGAAGACGUCACAAAUGUCACAACACUCCUGCAUUUAUUCGGAAAGGCCACAGGACUCCAAACAAAUCUACAAAAGACAACAGUGGCUCCCAUCAGCUGCAAUAACGUAGACCUCGACGAAAUCCUAUCCGAAUGGCCAAUCAGUCGCACCGGCUUCCCAUUAAAAUACCUCGGGCUACCACUUGCGAUAAGGCGCCUAAGGAAAGUGGACUUCCAACCUCUAAUAGACAAAGCAGCAAAGAAGCUAUCUGGGUGGCACAAUCGCAACAUCACACAAGCAGGCCGAGUCUGCCUCGCCAAAGCUGUGCUUUCUGCGCAACCUUUGUAUCUACUAACUGUCUUAAAACCAACAUGCGAAGUCCUGGAAGAACUAGACAAAAUAAGGAAAUGAUUCAUCUGGGCCGGAGACAAUCUGCUGACAGGUGGCAAAUGCAAGGUCAACUGGAUCAAAUCCUGCUUACCAAAAGAAAAUGGCGGACUAGGAGUGCUGAACCUUCAUAAUUUUGCUAGAGCAUUGAGACUACGAUGGAUUUGGCAUGAGUGGGAGUCCCCGGAGAAAACAUGGAUCGGAAUGGACAUUCCAUGCGAUGACUCCGAUCAACGCUUAUUCACGGCUUGCACAAUUAUCACAGUGGGAAAUGGAUGUAAAACAAGCUUCUGGCACUCAGCUUGGGGAAGGGGUUCCCGACCGAAGGACAUUGCGCCCAACAUAUAUAAGCUAUCUAGGGGGUGUCGGGGGGAAAUAUUAACGAUCCCCUAACAUGCUGCUUAAAGAAGCAAACAUGAAGGCCCAAGCCCACCAAAGCCUGAUCAAAUCUCCGCCUCGCCCGACCCAGGCGUCAGGAUCGGGAGUGCCCGACCCCUCGCCCGCAAGGUUUCCGCCUCGCCCGACUGCGAUCCCAGGGUCGGGGGCGCCCGACCCCUCAUCACGGAGUUCUCCGCCUCGCCCGACCCAGGCGUCAGGAUCGGGAGCGCCUGACCCCUCGCCCGCAAGGUUUCCGCCUCGCCCGACUGCGAUCCCAGGGUCGGGGGCGCCCGACCCCUCAUCACGGAGUUCUCCGCCUCGCCCGACCCUAAGUGGAGGGGUCGGGCGCACUGGGGCCCACAAGUCCGGGAACCCCCUCGGAUGCGGUCCGCAUAGACAAAACAAAUCCUGUGGGUCCCCCCGUCGGCCUCACCAUAAAUGCACCGCAGAGUUGAUAGAGGGCAGGGCGACCGCGCCCCUCACGCAACCUGGUGCAAGUACCCGUGCACGUCCGUCCUGUGCAGGCUACAGUGCCGGCGGCCGGCUCCCAUUCGCCGCAGGGCACUCAUAGCCUGCGCCGACCGGAGCAAAGGAGAGAGAGGCCUGUCCUCGGGUCCCGCACACCCUCGGGUCCCGCACACCCAACAGUGCGGAUGUGACGCCCUCCCUCUUAGCGGCCGUCGCCGGAGCAGCGGCAUCCGCCGUCCUCCCUAACAGACGCUGGGGUAACGACGGAACACCAUCACCAUGGCCUGAUACCUACGGGCAUCAAAGCAGCUAUAUGAAGGAGGCAAUAACACUUGGCAAAGGGCGACUUCCUCCUCCGGCAUGCACGCCAACACUCGUCAAGGGCCGGCAGAGACAACGGACGCCUAGGAUCUGGCCCCUCCUUCCUGCCAUGCUUUUUACCAUUUUACGCCUUACCCUUUACCAUCCUCUUUUAACCGAUCCCAAUUGUAACUCCGGCCAUCCCCUUGUGAUAUAAAAGGAGGAAACCGAGGCCGGGGGGAGGGAUCAAUCGAACAAUCUACGAACAGACCGGGGGAUCGCUCGAUCAGCUUCUUCCCCCACACACCUUAGUACACUACACCUCUCCCUGAGAGCAAAAGAAAAAAAGAGACUUGGGACCUGUCCCUCUCUCGCCAAUCUGUACCCCCUACUACAGAACCCCCGCGUGGGCAACACGAGCAUCCUCGAUACUGGACGUAGGGCUUCCUUUGCCCGAACCAGUCUAAAUCUGUGUCCCCCACGCAACCAUCUGAGGCUCACGCGCAUAAAAGAAAUUUACUAGUCUAAGUCUAGGUCCGCUGAUCCUGACAACGACAGGGGGAAACAUAAAACUCUUGCAGAGGCAUUACACAACAAUAGAUGGGUGACGGACAUAAACAUCCAUGCCGGACUUACAACGCGGCACUUACAAGAAUUCGUCACACUAUGGCGGCUAGUAGCGACAGUAAGCCUCCAAGCACAACAGGAAGACACAAUCCGUUGGAAAUUCACGCAAAAUGGUCAAUACUCAGCGGCAUCAGCAUACAAGGCACAGUUUUUAGGAUCCACUCAUGCACCGCACAGUAAAACAAUAUGGAAAUGCUGGGCACCCCCGAAAUGCAAAUUUUUCGCGUGGCUGAUACUACAGGACCGGGUAUGGACAGCUGAUCGACUUGCGCGAUGAGGAUGGCCGCACUCACCAAAUUGCCCUCUAUGCCGAGUACAACAAGAGACAGCACAUCAUCUCCUGGCACAAUGCAGAUACACCAAGCGAAUAUGGAGUCUUGUUACCACUUGGGCCUCGCAACUCAGCCUACACCCUUCGGAAUGGCCACCAACUGCCAAUGCUCUAGAGUGGUGGAUAAAUAUGACUACAAGGACCGAAGCUCCUCGGAAAGGAGUCUGCUCUAUGGGCCUGCUGAUAAUAUGGGAAAUUUGGAAGGAGCGCAAUCGACGAAUCUUCAACCAUCAAGGGAUGGCCGCAACAGCACUGCUAGCACAAAUCAAAGCGGAAGCAGACACGUGGAUUUUAGCAGGGGCGAGAGCUCUAGCGUUGUUCUUAUCCAGAGAGUAAUCGUGCUAGGAAAAGGAAACUUUGUAUCUCCUUUGUAACAAUCUGUAAUUAUCUACUAUCUCAAUAAAAUAGGCACUAUCCCGUACCCAUUCCUUCAAAAAAAAAGUCAUAUUUCACCGAUCACUGUACAUAUGAAAGUGGUCUUUUUUUUUCCUAUUGGCCUGGAUUACCGUGGCUACCUCUAACCUACUCACUCCAUCCCGCAAAGAGUGUCCAUUUAGUUGGCUCCUUGUCUGUGCAUUAAGAUGCUCAUCCCAAUCUUCCAAUGAAUCACUAUCAAAUCCAUCAAACUCAACAAUACGAGCUUCACGAGUUGAUGUGUCAAGCCCCGACUUCUCUGAAGGACCACAAUAUUCAUGGAACAGCUCCCUUAUUGCAUCACGCACGGCAGAUACAUACUUCUCUGCAUCAGUACCAAAAGCUCGCUUUAGACGGAACUCAAUAAAAGUAAUUUUGAAUCUCGGAUCAAGAACAACAGGUAUUGACAGCCACACGUAUGAACUUUGCCAAUACUCAUUGAACGCUUCUUGCAUCACCCAAACCAUGUUAGCAAGUUCAGUGUGAUCAGAGGAUGCUUCUUCUUGCAAAGUUGUUCUAACUUUCCAUAGUUCAUUGAAGUAUAUAUUUGCUGUCGGGCUAACAGGACCAGAAAUUACUUCAACAGCACGAUAAAAAGCCCUCAGUAUCCUGCAAACAGAUUCCACAGUUUUAGUAUCUUCUGCAGAUAAGAAUUCUUCCCAGGGGAAUGCCUUCUUGAAAUGCAGAAAAACUUGAAGCCUGAAGUAAAUUUUAUGCCACCAUUUCGCAUCCUCCUGUGGUCACUUCAAUCCAAGAUGUGUAACAACUUCUAAAAGUUGCUGCCGAGUCAGCGAUGAGGACAUUUGUACCUGAAUAAAUUUCUCUAGUAUGUCACCAACAUGGUGAAGCACUGGUUGCCCUUUUGAAACAAUGCUGUUAAGCACAUCAUCCACACAAGCAACAUUGUACAGUUCACCUCUAAUAGGAAGGCAUUUUCUUUGGAUGAGCAAGUCCAUCAGCUUUGAGGUACCCUCAUCGCUUCUAAUUGCAUUGACAGAUGUCAAGCUGAAAUGCUUCUGAUCAAGAUUCCAAUCUCUUAAAGCUUCCUGUAUGACAUUAAAUUGUCCAUUAUCAGAAUCCAGUACGCAGGCCUCCUUAAAAUGUAUCAUCCUUUCUAAACUAGUAGCCUAGUAGGUGAGGACAAAAACACACCAAAUUUGAUGAUUUUCCUUUAAAGUUUCCAUUCAGAAUCGAUAAAAUGCACUGCCAGACAGAGAUACUUCACUGAGGCCUCAGCUCCAUGAGGAGCCCACACACUUUGCGGUAGCAUACGGGCAUACCCGCGAGCACAUGGCACGGCCGAAAAGCGAAAAUGCUUGCACGUGGCCCACGUUUUCUCCCACGAUUUCUCAUCCUUUUGUUUUGUCCUACUCGCUCCUGUAUCCAUCCAUCAUGUCCACCUAUAAGACCAAGGGCAAGCCUCCAGCCGUCGCUCCAGUUCCCUCCUGUCUCCCGGUCCAACUCAACUCUUGCCUUUUCCCUGCUUCCAUCGUCUCCUGCUCCUCAACUGCUGCAGGAUACAGCGUGAGGUACGUCAAAGUGUCCGCAGUUUGCAGUUUGUUUUCUUCUUGUGAAAACCUUUGGAUUUUUCAGUGGCUAUAAUGUCUUGCGAAAUUCCCCAAUUCUCUUCCGAGCAUCUCUUGGAUGUAGUGAUAAGCGUCAUGUUCUUUGCUGCUGCUCUAAUUAACAGGGAGCCGCGCAGCGCCGACGCCAAUGAGCACUCGGGGCAGCAGCAGGGCGAUGUACACCGGCCUGAUCAUCCUGUUGCUCGCUGUCGGCGCAGGCAUCAACUUCGGCAACUGCGACGGAUUAUCCGGCCCACUCCUCAGCUUCGUGGGGGUUGUCGCCGGCGCCAACAUGAUCGCCGCCGGCGUCAGGACGGCCGACGACCCAGCAGCACCCAUCGACCCCGCGCCCGCAGCGUUCGCCGGUGCACGUGCGUUCAUGCGGCGCAACCUCGCCGUCGUGGGGCUCGUCAUGGUUUCCUCUGCUUCCACAGCGGUUGCGGGGGAGACAGGCCCGGCGUUCUCCUUCAUGAUGUUUGUCCUGCUGGUGUUCGGGGUCUCUCUGAUCAACAUCGGAGUUCAUGGCACCUAGUCUGGUGUGUCAGCUUCGGUCCGUUGGUGCUCGCAUCGUUCUUCGUACGUUGACGUUCCCCUCAACUAUCUGUCAGUAAUCGCCGCCUCUGUCCACGGAUGGUUUUCAAGUAACAGCAAUAAAGGAAAUGGA